CUAGCGACUUCAGAGUUUUGAUCCUGGCUCAGGAUGAACGCUGGCGGCGUGCCUAACACAUGCAAGUCGAACGAAGCGACUCAAAGUUUUCGGACAGAGAGUUGACUGAGUGGCGGACGGGUGAGUAACGCGUGGAUAACCUGCCUCAUACAGGGGGAUAACAGUUAGAAAUGACUGCUAAUACCGCAUGACACUUUAGUACCGCAUGGUACAGAAGUCAAAGCUUAAUGUGCUGAAAGAUGGUCUCGCGUCUGAUUAGCUAGAUGGCGGGGUAACGGCCCACCAUGGCGACGAUCAGUAGCCGGUCUGAGAGGAUGAACGGCCACAUUGGGACUGAGAUACGGCCCAG
rnacentral:rRNA from 1 species